GACAGAGGAGCCAAGCGUUGUCCGGAUUGACUGGGCGUAAAGCGCACGCAGGCGGUCGCGCGCGUGGGGUGUGAAAUCUGGCCGCUUAACGGCCAGGCGCCAUCCCAUACGGCGCGACUGGAGUGAUGCAGAGGUCGAUGGAAUUGCCGGUGUAGUGGUGAAAUGCGUAGAGAUCGGGCAGGAACACCCAGGGGGAAACCAGCCGACUGGGCAUCUACUGACGCUGAGGUGCGAGAGCGUGGGGAGCGAACCGG
rnacentral:rRNA from 1 species